CGCCACUGUUCUCCCCCAAAUUUCUAGGGUUUGUUCUUCGCGCCUUGAUGGAUCUCUCAUUGUCUCCGUCGUCGAUCUGAAUUUUCUUUCUUAGUGAUUAAGAGUUCUACUUUGAUUGCAUUUGAUGGGAUAAGAAUGAUACCCUAAUUUUCUUGAUUUAACGGGGGAAAGGAGCUCACAUGGGCAUUGAAUGCGCCGAAGAAGUGUGAGGAGCCUGAUUAGUGAUUGCACUGUUACGAGGUCCAGUUCCCAAGAAACAAAAGCACUGACCUCGAGGUCAAACUAAAAGCAUGCUUUUUUUUUUCUCCAUCCAACCUCUCGUGCUCUAAUAAACCAAAAGAAUAUUAGUACAGAACUUGGUUCUGUACAACCCCUGAA